rnacentral:lncRNA from 1 species
GUUUGGAGGUAUAUUCCUACUGCUGUUGGGAUUAAUACAGUCUGUAUUCAUGAUAAUUACUUGAAAUUUUCUUUUAGUACAGGUACUCAUUAAUGAAAUUUUUUAAAUAUAUAGCUUUUGACUUUAAAAGUUCAAUUUUAGUAAAUGUUGAAGAAAGGCUGCUGUCUGUUCUUACUCAAUACUUUUAGGUAAGUUUAUAUCUGUUGUAAAUAAAAAUUGCAUGAUAUAAUGAUAUGUGAUGUUGGUAUAAACUAUUUAAAACUUAUCACAUUUCUGAUGUUGAAAGGGUGGCAGGGAGUUGCGUCCUUGCUUUGUAUCUAUUGCUUUCCCUUUUGACUUUUAGCAAAUAUCGUGAACAUAAUUAUGAAAAUUUAUAAAACUGAUGGAAGCUCUGAUAAAAUGCCAAACUAUGGAUUGUAGAAAAUCGUUAUGCUAUUCACAUAAAACAAACAUCGACCGUACAUGAAGGGUUUUCUUUGGUUUGGUGAUGGUAGUCCUUAUUUUUUGCUUAUUAAAUUAUAUCAUUAAAAAAAUUGCCAUGUGAAUUAAUCACAAACAGGAUUGCAUCAAGGCUAUGCCUUAAGAUUAAGAUCCAUUACUGAAAGUUGGAUUUCGUUUGACGCUCAUAGGAGGAUGGCAUAUUGAAACUGAUACUGAGGUGUCCACUUUUUCUGCAUCUAUUCCAAAGAAAUUGACUGAAUUAUAAACAAGUUCUUUGGGUCAUAUUGACAGAUAUUUUUAACAUACCACAAAUGUCAAUUGCUGACUUUAGUUAUUAUUAUAAGAGUUAUUACUUGCAUGACAUUGGAUUUAAAAUUAACAUACCAUUAAAAAACAUCAACUCUUACAUAAUAUGAAGAAAAUAUUAUGAUGUAUUGUGUAUGGGUAAGAAAAAGCUAGCUACUAAACAAAGAAAAGGAAAUGCAUUUUCCAUUACAACAAUCUAAACAAAUUUUGUUAUUUGCAAAGUAUUGCCUAUUUGUUAUAAAAGCAUAUACUUUUUUAAUAGGAAUUCAAAAGAGCAUAUACCCAAAUCCAUUUAAAUGGUAAUAUGGUUACCAUUAAUAUGGUUAAUAUGGUAUAUAUCCAGUUAAAGGGCCAUUAGCUGCUCUAUUUAUAUUCAUCUCUCAUUUAACUCUAAUUCUCCAAUUUGAUUUAUUACAUACCAUAAACAUAUGCAAAUUACAAAUAAUCCAAAUCAAAACAAUAGCUAACUUUUGAGUUCGCUGCAUUUCCGUUAAAAACUCUGGUUUUAGUGAACAUCAUUCCUGCGGUUAGGGGCAUCGUCAUUUCCGUUCCAAUGUUGAGCAAUCGGUUGGAAAACUAUGAUGAUAUAUUGCACGAAUUAUUUGGCAAAUUGAAUUCACAUAAUUGAUAAUCAGCACUGCUGUAUUUGAGGAAUUUUCAUUAAGUGCCUACAGAACAAACAUUAUUUCUAGUUUAUCCUACACAACGACAAUCACUAAGACGCAUGAUGAACGUGAAUAGUGCAGGGAUAUAUGAAAUCCCCUCUAUCUGGUAAAUGACAUCAUAAAGGCGCGCAUGAUGAGUUUUGUCCUGUGACGGAUGAACUCGAAAGUGGUCUAUAAACAAGAGUUGACGACAUGGACUUAAUAUGAUAAUGUAUCAGCAUUUUGUGUAUAUUUCAAACUAGAUACCAUCCAAAUAACCAUAAAGAUGGUAUAGGAAGAAUGCUGAUAGAUUUUCUUGGUCUGUUUGACUAUGUCAUGGAUUAAUAAAAGAUUCAUAAGCUAUCUUUUUACCUGUACAAGAAUGAUCUUUUUGGGGGUAGAAUUGGUCAUACAAAUUUUUCUCCUUAUUGACAAGGAGUCCUUUCAAUAGUGUCCUUUAUUUUUAACUUUAAAUAUACUUAGCACAUGAGUAACCCAUUUCAAUCGAAGGGUCAAAUUGAAGGUCACAUAAAUAUACAUGAAUGUUGACUCAAAUGAGGUUGAAAUAUUGGGCUUAUUUGACAAAACUGAAUCUGUCAACACUAAUGCCUCUUUGAUGAGACACUUUUUAUGAAGAAAAGGAAUUAUACAUAGAUUGAUAUAAGCAAACUUGUUUGUAGAAAAAUCUGCAAUGUUUUGAAAAUUACACCAGAAAACUACAUUGAACAGAUGAGAGGGUGUAGCAAGGAAAGUAUUCACUACACAUGAAAGCGAUGUACAUGUCAAAUUAAGUGACAAAGUUUGUAUAACCAAAAAUGGCAGUAAUUUAAAAUUCAUAGAUAAAAAUUAAUUUUCAAUGGAAGAUGAAAUAAAAUCUGGAAGAGAGAAAUAAAAACAGAAUAAUUCUUAUCAAGCCUGCUGACGGCAACACAUUUAUAAGUUGUUUAUUUUUCAAUCAUAAAGUUCGGUGUGUGCCUUAGAUUUUUUAACAAACAAUCAUGGAAUUUUAACCUUUUUUUUUUUAUCAUGAGCACCGUAUGACUAUCCACAGCCAUUUUUUUCAUAUAUUACUGAUAAAUGUUUUUUUUUUUUUUUUGGAUCAGCCUUUUUUUAGCUCACCUGGCCCAAAGGGCCAAGUGAGCUUUUCUCAUCACUUGGCGUCUGUCGUCCGUCGUCGUCGUCGUUGUCGUCGUCCGUCGUUAGCUUUUACAAAAAUCUUCUCCUGAAACUACUGGCCAAUUUUUACCAAUUUGGCCACAAUCAUUAUUAGGGUAUCAGUUUAAAAAUUGGUCGGUGACCCUGCCAACCAACCAAGAAUGGCCGCCAUGGCUAAAAAUAGAACAUAGGGGUAAAAAUGCAGUUUUUGGCUUAUACUCAAAAACCAAAAGCAUUUAGAGCAAAUCUGACAUGGGGUAAAAUUGUUAAUCAGGUCAAGAUCUAUCUACCCUGAAAUUUUGAGAUGAAUCAGACAACCCGUUGAUAGGUUGCUGCCCCUGAAUUGGUAAUUUUAAGGAAAUUUUGCUGUUUUUGGUUAUUAUCUUGAAUAUUAUCAUAGAUAGAGAUAAACUGUAAACAGCAAAAAUGUUCAGUAAAGUAAGAUCUACAAAUAAGUCAACAGGACCAAAAUGGUCUGUUGACCCCUUUAGGAGUUAUUGCCCUUAAUAGUCAAUUUUUAACCAUUUUUCGUAAAUCUUAGUCAUCUUUUACAAAAAUCUUCUCCUCUGAAACUACUGGGCCAAAUUAAACCAAACUUGACCACAAUCAUCAUUGGGGUAUCUUGUUAAAAAAUUGUGUCCCGUGACCUGGCCAACCAACCAAGAUGGCCGCCAUGGCUAAAAUAGAACAUAGGGGUAAAAUGCAGUUUUUGGCUUAUCAACUCAAAAACCAAAGCAUUUAGAGCAGAAUCUGACAAUGGUAAAAUUGUUUAUCAGGUCAAGAUCUAUCUGCCCUGAAAUUUUCAGAUGAAUCGGACAACCCGUUGAUAGGUUGCUGCCCCCUGAAUUGGUAAUUUUAAGGACAAUUUUGCUGUUUUUGGUUAUUAUCUUGAAUAUUAUUAUAGAUAGAGAUAAACUGUAAACAGCAAUAAUGUUCAGCAAAGUAAGAUCUACAAAUAAGUCAACAAAACCAAAAUGGUCUGUAGAUUUCUUUAGGAGUUAUUGCCCUUUAUAGUCAAUUUUUAACCAUUUUUCGUAAAUCUUAGUUAUCUUUUACAAAAAUCCUCUCCUCUGAAACUACUAGGCCAAAUUAAACCAAACUUGGCCACAAUCAUCAUUGGGGUAUAUAGUUUAAAAAUUGUGUCCCGUGACCUGGCCAACCAACCAAGAUGGCCGCCAUGGCUAAAAAUAGAACAUAGGGGUGAAAUGCAGUUUUUGGCUUAUAACUCUGAAACCGCAGCCUUUAGAGCAAAUCUGACAUGGGGUUAAAUUGUUUAUCAGGUCAAGAUCUAUCUGCCUGAAAUUUCAGAUGAAUCUGACAACCUGUGUUGGGUUGCUGCCCCUGAAUUGGUAAUUUUAAGGAAAUUUUGCUGUUUUUGGUUGUUAUCUUGAAUAUUAUUAUAGAUAGAGAUAAACUGUAAACAAUCAAUAAUAUGUUAAGCAAAGUAAGAUUUACAAAUAAGUCAACAUGACGGAAAUGGUCAAUUGACCCCCUAAGGAGUUAUUGUCCUUUGUAGUCAAUUUUUAACAAUUUUCAAUAAAAUUUGUAAUUUUAACUAACAUUUUCCACUGAAACUACUGGGCCAAGUUCAUUAUAGAUAGAGAUAAUUGUAAGUAGCAAGAAUGUUCAGUAAAGUAAGAUGUACAAACACAUCACCAUCACCAAAACACAUUUGUCAUGAAUCCAUCUGCUUCCUUUGUUUAAUAUUCACAUAGACCAAGGUGAGCGACACAGGCUCUUUAGAGCCUCUAGUUUUAUUAGAAAGCUUGGGACUUUAAUAUUUUUCUUGACUUGUGAAGAUGAUGUUUCCUUAUGAAGUCAAUAGCUAUAAAAGUGAUUCAGAUUCCAUAGAACCUUUAGUAUUUGGUACACUGUAUGUACCUUAGUUUCUAUAAAUAUCUUACAACCCUCUCUAGGUCAACAUCUUUAAUAGGACUUUGGAAUUUAUACUCCAACAUAUAUACUUUGACAUAUUAUUUCUUUAUUAACAGUUUUAUUAAAAUAUUUAUUUACAAAGAGGUCCAAUAUGAGUGAAUCAAGGUUCCUUAGCAGGGUUCAUGCUUGCUGGAUUGUUGUUGACUUUAUAGUGAAAAAAUGAAAUUAAACCUGAGAUGGUGAGGAGUGGUAUAUUUUCCAUUUUAAGAUGGAAAUUUCUCUUUUGUAGAUCUAUCGAUUUGGAUCAGCUAGUCUUAAAUUUUAAACAUGAAUACAUAGACACAAAUUCAGUCUUGCAAAUAGUUUCUAGAAGUUAUGAAAUGAGGUUGAUUAGUAAAGACAAAACAUGACUAUUUUGAUGAUUUUGUUUAAAGCAUUUGACACUGUUAUAUUUUGGGCAUUUAUUGAUAUUUUAGACAUUUAUUUUAUAGGUCAGAAGCACUGGAUGAUAUAAGUUGAUGUCACCUUGACUAGAUUAUGCUCCAAUUGAUGGAAUUUGUUUAAGUAUCUGACCCUGAAGUUGAUCUGGACAGAUUGAAGGUAAUUUCAUAUUGAUAAUAAAAAAAUGAUUUGUUUAAUUUGGAAAUAAUAUUAUUUGAAAUAAGAAGAUAUGGUAUGAUUGCAAAUGAGAAAGUUAUUGAUCAGAGACCAAAUGACUUGGAUGUAUUAAAACAACUAUAGAUCACAGUAUGGCAUUGGACAAAGAGCAAAACCCAUACCUGAUAGUAAGCUAUAAAAAGACAUGACAUGACCAGAUAUAUAUGUUAAUGUAUAAAGAAAACCAGCAGCCUGGUAUAUGACUCAAACCAAAAAACUAAAAACAAAUAUGAUGCACCCUAAACAGUUACAACAACUGAAAAUGUAAGUUCUGGGGUAGAGUUAUAUUUUUUGCAAUCACUAGGACAUUUUUCUAAAAUGGAAAUCAAGGUCAAGAUUGUUGAUACCGGGUGUCUUUUUGAUAAUUUUAUUCAUCAGAUUUUUGUAGUUAAAAUCGAUUAAGGAUUUGGAUGUACAGCAGACUGGUGGGUGGGCGGUCAGCUGCCAAACAGUCUCCCCAAUAACAUGAGAACCACCAGUUACUAUGGUUACUGUAUCUAUAUAAAUAGGGUUCAAACAUUAAUCCACCAUUCUCCCUAUGAUGAAGGUAUCUGUUGUACUGAAAUCGGUCAGGCUAGGAAACAUCAGCAGGAGCUGUUUAUUAUGUGUAUUGGCAUAUGCUAUAUUGUUUGACUAAAGAAUAUUACUAAUCAACUUUUUGUACAGCAAAGUUUUUAAAGUAAUUUAUUUGAUAAUUAUCAUUAUGUAUUUAUUUCAGGUUCUGAAUUUGUGUUCAGCUUAAGAAGCCGGUGGAUAAGAAAAAGAUGCUUUUUAACUGCAAUGUUCAAGAAAAGUAAACCAUUGUUUGAAGAGGUA